rnacentral:rRNA from 1 species
CCUACGGGAGGCAGCAGUAGGGAAUCUUCCACAAUGGGCGAAAGCCUGAUGGAGCAACGCCGCGUGGGUGAAGAAGGUCUUCGGAUCGUAAAACCCUGUUGUUCGAGAAGAAAGUGCGUGAGAGUAACGGUUCACGUUUCGACGGUAUCUAACCAGAAAGCCACGGCUAACUACGUGCCACCAGCCGCGGUCAUACGGAGGUGGCAUGCGUUAUCCGGAUUUAUUGGGCGUAAAGGGAACGCAGGCGGUCUUUUAAGUCUGAUGUGAAAGCCUUCGGCUUAACCGGAGUAGUGCAUUGGAAACUGGGGUACUUGAGUGGAGAAGAGGAGAGUGGAACUCGAUGUGUAGCGGUGAAAUGCGUAGAUAUAUGGAAGAACACCAGUGGCGAAAGCGGCUCUCUGGUCUGUAACUGACGCUGAGGUUCGAAAGCGUGGGUAGCAAACAGGAUUAGAUACCCCGGUAGUC